UCUGCCUAAUCACCUUAACUAAGCCUUUCAAGAAGAUCUCCGAUCCCCCAGCCACUCUCCUGCUAAGAGCUAAGAGAUAUGGAAGAUUUGAGAGAAGCCGCAAGAUAUUACUUGGAAGGAGCCUCCGAGGAGUAUAAGCGGCGGGCACGCAGGGCUAUGGCCGCCGGAGAAUCUCUCGAGGAUUUCUACGUACGCGCGACGAAGAGAUGCAUACGUAGGUGCGAUGUUUGCGCGAAGCUUCUGCUCGGUUUCUACUUGUGUUGCACAAAAUGUGAGCUAUACAAGGGGUGUUAUUACAACCUGUGCGUCAAGUGUUUCUAUGGGAGAACAUUCCAACACAAUCAUGACUCCUUCGCUGACAACCACAGUGUACUAAUGAUGCAUAACGAGGGCCGUGGCGAACCCCCUUGUGUCAUUGAAAAGAACAAGGGAAAAGGCAAGGAAGAUUCCAACUCGAAACGCCAUCAUUCAAGUUCAAAACAUUCAAGAAGUCAUUCCAACUCAUCACGUCCUGAUUCAAUUAGUCAUUUCAAGUCGUCACGUCAUGAUUCAAGUAGUCGUUCCAAGUCAGCAUGCCAUGAUUCAAGAAGUCGUUCCAAGUUGUCACGUCAUGAUUCAAGAAGUCGUUCCA